ensembl:lncRNA
GCGGCUCAAUCGCCACCGCAAACAACGCUACGCAGAUGGUGGAUAUGAAUCUAAAACCAACCCGCCGGUGGAAAAGGGGGCGGAGAGGGGAGUGAAAGACGUGUCGAAGGUUGAAGAAUCCCCACUCAGCAACUCUACGACAUGGCGGCAUGGAGAGAGGCAGAGCGGGAGAGAGAGAGAGAGAGAGAGAGAGAGAGAGGAACGCCAUCAUGUGACUUCUUUCCACUCCGCCUUUCACCUUUUUUAUUCCAAGAAAACUCUCCCUCUGCACUGGUGGUUUCGGGCGCUGUAAUGAGAUAAAUAAAUCCUUUUUUCUCCCUCCUUCUAUUUAACAUGCACUUUGGCAAACAAAUGAGAAAUCAAUGAGGAGCGGCCUCAGUACGCGGAGCGUGCCCCGCCUGCCACGAGCUGAAGCGCGGCGGAGGAAUCUGGAGGCUCAUGAAAGCGAAGAAUAAAACGCGUGAGCGUAAAUAAUUCCCUUACAGCAAAAAGAAGCAGACGACAAUGGAUUCCUCACAGAUGCGUGAGACAGCGGAGGACAUGUCAGCCGCCAUCAAACAGGAAGGGGACGGUUU